rnacentral:rRNA from 1 species
AAGUUCCCAUAUCCUGAAUCAUUCUUUCCAAAAACUUUUAAAACACAACACACUUGACUUAAUAAACAACAUGUAGUUGUAAACUGAAUAUUGGAAACUGCAGUCCACUUAAUGCACUUUGGCCUUCAGAAUUUUUUUUUGGGUGGGGGAGGGAGGGAUUGGGGUCUCGAAGACGAUCAGAUACCGUCCUAAUUUCAACCAUAAACGAUAUCAACCAGGGAUCGACGGAUGUUGCCUUUAGGAUUCCGCUGGCAACUUAUGAGAAAUCAAAGUUUUUGGGUU